GACGAACGCUGGCGGCGUGCUUAACACAUGCAAGUCGAACGGAAAGGCCCUGCUUUUGUGGGGUGCUCGAGUGGCGAACGGGUGAGUAACACGUGAGUAACCUGCCCUUGACUUUGGGAUAACUUCAGGCAACUGGGGCUAAUACCGGCUAGGUGCUCCUGCUGCAUGGUUGGGGUUGGAAAGUUUGGGCGGUUGGGGAUGGACUCGCGGCUUAUCAGCUUGUUGGUGGGGUAGUGGCUGACCAAGGCUUUGACGGGUAGCCGGCCUGAGAGGGUGGCCGGCCACAUUGGGACUGAGAUACGGCCCAGACUCCUACGGGAGGCAGCAGUGGGGAAUAUUGCACAAUGGGCGGAAGCCUGAUGCAGCAACGCCGCGUGCGGGAUGACGGCCUUCGGGUUGUAAACCGCUUUCGCCUGAGACGAAGCGUGAGUGACGGUAAUGGGUAAAGAAGCACCGGCUAACUACGUG
rnacentral:rRNA from 1 species